rnacentral:rRNA from 1 species
CGGGACACGUGGUAUCCUGUCUGAAUAUGGGGGGCCCAUCCUCCAAGGCUAAAUACUCCUGACUGACCGAUAGUGAACCAGUACCGUGAGGGAAAGGCGAAAAGAACCCCGGCGAGGGGAGUGAAAAAGAACCUGAAACCGUGUACGUACAAGCAGUGGGAGCACGCUUAGGCGUGUGACUGCGUACCUUUUGUAUAAUGGGUCAGCGACUUAUAUUCUGUAGCAAGGUUAACCGAAUAGGGGAGCCGAAGGGAAACCGAGUCUUAACUGGGCGUUAAGUUGCAGGGUAUAGACCCGAAACCCGGUGAUCUAGCCAUGGGCAGGUUGAAGGUUGGGUAACACUAACUGGAGGACCGAACCGACUAAUGUUGAAAAAUUAGCGGAUGACUUGUGGCUGGGGGUGAAAGGCCAAUCAAACCGGGAGAUAGCUGGUUCUCCCCGAAAGCUAUUUAGGUAGCGCCUCGUGAAUUCAUCUCCGGGGGUAGAGCACUGUUUCGGCAAGGGGGUCAUCCCGACUUACCAACCCGAUGCAAACUGCGAAUACCGGAGAAUGUUAUCACGGGAGACACACGGCGGGUGCUAACGUCCGUCGUGAAGAGGGAAACAACCCAGACCGCCAGCUAAGGUCCCAAAGUCAUGGUUAAGUGGGAAACGAUGUGGGAAGGCCCAGACAGCCAGGAUGUUGGCUUAGAAGCAGCCAUCAUUUAAAGAAAGCGUAAUAGCUCACUGGUCGAGUCGGCCUGCGCGGAAGAUGUAACGGGGCUAAACCAUGCACCGAAGCUGCGGCAGCGACGCUUAUGCGUUGUUGGGUAGGGGAGCGUUCUGUAAGCCUGCGAAGGUGUGCUGUGAGGCAUGCUGGAGGUAUCAGAAGUGCGAAUGCUGACAUAAGUAACGAUAAAGCGGGUGAAAAGCCCGCUCGCCGGAAGACCAAGGGUUCCUGUCCAACGUUAAUCGGGGCAGGGUGAGUCGACCCCUAAGGCGAGGCCGAAAGGCGUAGUCGAUGGGAAACAGGUUAAUAUUCCUGUACUUGGUGUUACUGCGAAGGGGGGACGGAGAAGGCUAUGUUGGCCGGGCGACGGUUGUCCCGGUUUAAGCGUGUAGGCUGGUUUUCCAGGCAAAUCCGGAAAAUCAAGGCUGAGGCGUGAUGACGAGGCACUACGGUGCUGAAGCAACAAAUGCCCUGCUUCCAGGAAAAGCCUCUAAGCAUCAGGUAACAUCAAAUCGUACCCCAAACCGACACAGGUGGUCAGGUAGAGAAUACCAAGGCGCUUGAGAGAACUCGGGUGAAGGAACUAGGCAAAAUGGUGCCGUAACUUCGGGAGAAGGCACGCUGAUAUGUAGGUGAAGUCCCUUGCGGAUGGAGCUGAAAUCAGUCGAAGAUACCAGCUGGCUGCAACUGUUUAUUAAAAACACAGCACUGUGCAAACACGAAAGUGGACGUAUACGGUGUGACGCCUGCCCGGUGCCGGAAGGUUAAUUGAUGGGGUCAGCGCAAGCGAAGCUCUUGAUCGAAGCCCCGGUAAACGGCGGCCGUAACUAUAACGGUCCUAAGGUAGCGAAAUUCCUUGUCGGGUAAGUUCCGACCUGCACGAAUGGCGUAAUGAUGGCCAGGCUGUCUCCACCCGAGACUCAGUGAAAUUGAACUCGCUGUGAAGAUGCAGUGUACCCGCGGCAAGACGGAAAGACCCCGUGAACCUUUACUAUAGCUUGACACUGAACAUUGAGCCUUGAUGUGUAGGAUAGGUGGGAGGCUUUGAAGUGUGGACGCCAGUCUGCAUGGAGCCGGCCUUGAAAUACCACCCUUUAAUGUUUGAUGUUCUAACGUGGACCCGUGAUCCGGGUUGCGGACAGUGUCUGGUGGGUAGUUUGACUGGGGCGGUCUCCUCCUAAAGAGUAACGGAGGAGCACGAAGGUUGGCUAAUCCUGGUCGGACAUCAGGAGGUUAGUGCAAUGGCAUAAGCCAGCUUGACUGCGAGCGUGACGGCGCGAGCAGGUGCGAAAGCAGGUCAUAGUGAUCCGGUGGUUCUGAAUGGAAGGGCCAUCGCUCAACGGAUAAAAGGUACUCCGGGGAUAACAGGCUGAUACCGCCCAAGAGUUCAUAUCGACGGCGGUGUUUGGCACCUCGAUGUCGGCUCAUCACAUCCUGGGGCUGAAGUAGGUCCCAAGGGUAUGGCUGUUCGCCAUUUAAAGUGGUACGCGAGCUGGGUUUAGAACGUCGUGAGACAGUUCGGUCCCUAUCUGCCGUGGGCGCUGGAGAACUGAGGGGGGCUGCUCCUAGUACGAGAGGACCGGAGUGGACGCAUCACUGGUGUUCGGGUUGUCAUGCCAAUGGCACUGCCCGGUAGCUAAAUGCGGAAGAGAUAAGUGCUGAAAGCAUCUAAGCACGAAACUUGCCCCGAGAUGAGUUCUCCCUGACCCUUUAAGGGUCCUGAAGGAACGUUGAAGACGACGACG